UCGCUGUGAUGAAUGAUUUUUAAACAUUCGUAGUUUCCACCAAAAGCUUUAGUUAAUGAUGGCAAAACUUCCUUGGAUGUCUGAGCGA
ensembl:snoRNA SNORD14 Small nucleolar RNA SNORD14